UUGGGGGAGGCUCCGCCCGCUUUCUGCGGAGUGUGCUGCCACCUGGAGGGAGGGCGGUGUCCGGCCUGGGGGAGGACGCCGCUCGUUGCCGCGGGGGGAUCCUGUCCCUGCGCGGGGACGAGGGCCGACGCCGGGGCGGGGAGGUGGGCAGGAGCUAAGAGCCUGAGGCCGCACUCGGAAGCGCCCGCUGGCGCGUUUCUCCCCAAACAGCCGCCUCCUGCGUUCGGAAGGCUGGGUGGUGCCCGCCGCCCCUGCUCUGUCGCCUCCCGCGUGCCUAGGGGACGGAUCCUCCUGCGGCUGCGCGCCGGCCAGCAAGACGCGGCGAGCCAGUUCUCUGAAGGGGGACGAAGUCCUGUUGGGUUGUCUCGUCUGAAGCCGCCACUUUACAUCCCCGCGCCCCGCCCUGGACAUCCCCGCAGCCUUCGCGGGCCUCCCCGGAGGGCACCCCGGAGAGACACCUGCAGACUCACACUUCUGUCUUCCAGACAGUCCAAGAAAAUGGCAUUGUGCCAUUUGUGCUAUUUGUACCCAGGUGUGGUGAGGCCAGCAGACCAGGAGACAGCAGCCGCCACUGAGAAGCUGUGCUCAGAGAUCCCGGGAGGAGGCCACGCUGCGCCUGCAGAGCGGGACCACAGAGGAAGGAACAGGAAAAGGCUCCCACCUCUUGGACUGAUCUUGGACUUCCCGGCCUCCAGAGCGGCAAGAAAUAAAUUCUAUUGUUUACAAGC